GGGAACGGCCCGAGAUGCUGGGAACAGAUGGGGAAGAAGGUGGGAUGCUAGGGGGAUGGGGCCAGAGCUUCAUUCUGGGUCGGGGGAACGCCUGCUGAACCCCAGGCCUGGCCCUGGCGCCAAGACAAGGCAGCUCCUCCACAGUCCCAACACCCGGCCCUUCCUAUAACAGAGAGGCAGUGGCUGGGCUGCCCAAGUUUGAAUCCCAGCCUAGGGAAAGCGGUGGAGGGGGAGUGGGCAGCCAGAGACAUGGUGGGGGCACCAGCAGGUCCCUUUCUGGCUCCAGGGGGCAGAGAGGAGAGUGUGGUGCUGCGGGCAUGUGCCCAUGGGCGGACAGCCGAGGCGGAGGUCCUGUUCCGGGAUGGCAGGCAGCCCUCCCAGCCGCUGGGACGCCUGACCCUGCAGGCUGCUACCCUGAAGAGGGUAGGUCUGCAGGACACCAGUCUUGUGUUUGAGGGACCUGUUGGCUAUCCACUUACAUAGUGAAUGUUUCCCCCCAUCCCCGCCAGCAGCUUCAUUGAGAUUAAAUGGAUGACUUGUAUGUGUGACAUUUUUUUUUGAGACUGCAUCCGGGGCACCCAGCAGGCAUUGGGCUCCUACUGCGGUGGGUGGAGCUGGCCCCGCUCACCCUGCCUUUGGGCUGCUUCUACCCAGACCAUGCCCUGGUGGCUGGGGCCCAGCACGUGGUGACCUUCGACGGCCGGGUAUGGGACCUCAGCACCCAGUGCGGCAGCAUCCUCCUGGCCCAGGCUCUACUGCUCCUCUGUGUGCUUCAGGCUCAUCUCACACACAGGUCCUGAGGCAGCAGGGCUGGGGCUGGGGGAGGAUCACAGGGUCUUACGGCCGGCCUCCGCUUCCCUCUUCCCCACAGGCAUAUCCGCUGGCCUUCUGGGCACCAAUGACAAUGAAGCAGGCAAUGAGCUGAUGUUGCCGCGGGCGCCUGUAGUCCCAGCUACUCAGGAGGCUGAGGCAGGAGAAUGGCGUGAACCCAGGAGGCAGAGCUUGCAGUGAGCUGAGACUGCACCAGAAUGAAAGGAGAAACAGAUAGGUCUACGAUAAUGGUAGGAGACUUCACCUCACUUUUUUUAUUUUUUUGAGAUGGAAUCUCACUCUGUUGCCCAGGCUGGAGUGCAGUGGCAUGAUAACGGCUCACUGCAACCUCCACCUCCUGGGUUCAAGUGAUUCUUAGUACAUGCUAACAGUCAAGAAUCCAAGAAGGAAAUUAAGAAAACAAUUCCUGCCGGGCAUGGUUGUGCACGCCUAUAGUCUCAGCUACUUGGGAGGCUGAGGCAGGAGGAUCACUUGAGCCUCAGAGGUCAAGGCUGUCAGUUUUGACGAUGAUUAUGCCUAUUGCUAUCAAAAUCCCAGUGGCAUUUUUUCUUCACUUAUAGAAAAAUCCAUCCUAAAGUUGAUACACAAUUUCAAGGGACACAACGGCCAGAAGACAGCAGCAACCCAAGUGUCCACUGACAGAUAAAUGUGGUCUCUCCAUACAAUCAAUCAUGAUUCAGCCUUAAAAACGAAGGAAAUUCUGACUUUUUUGUAUUUUUAGAAGAGAUGGGGUUUCACCAUGUUAGCCAGGAUGGUCUUGACCUCCUGACCUUGUGAUCUGCCUGCCUCAGCCUCCCAAAGUGCUGGGAUUACAGGUGUGAGCCACUGCGCCCAGCCUAAUUUCAUUCAUAUUAAUAUGUUAAAAAUCAUAAUCAUCGUAGAUGUUGAAAAGGUUAUCGAGAAACGUUCAACAUUAAAAAGAUGUCACAUCAAUAUCAAGAGGGGGUGUGUGGAAAUGGAGGCUCCACACAUGCUGGGGGGAACGUGGCGGCAUGGCAACUCCAAAACACAGUUUGGCGGUUUCUUAAAAGGUGAAUAUAAAUCUACCAGGCUGAGCCAGGAGAAUAGCUUGAACCUGGGAGGCAGAGGUUGCAGUGAGCCAAGAUCAUGCCACUGCACUCCAGCCUGGGCAACAGACGGAGACUGUCUCCUAGAUAGAUAGAUAGACAGAGAUAAAAAAUACCCAAGUGGUGUCAUAAGCACCGUAGGUGCACUGUGAAAAGUUAGGGUGUGUGUUGUAAUCCCUAGAACAAUCGCUAAAGAAAACAUAUAUAGCUAAAAACAUAGAGCAAAAAGAUAUAGCCAGAAGUCAACAGAGAUAAAAGGAAAUGUGAAGAAUCAAAUUCUUUCACCCGGAUUUGGUUUGUCCUUGUACACCCAUGGUUGACAAGGUCACCUGGCAAUGACAAAUCUGCUUUUGAAGUUUUGUUUUUUUUUCUGGAGGCAGAGUCUUGUUCUGUCGCUGAGGCUGGAGUGCAGUGGCGCGAUCUCGGCUCACUGCAAUCUCUGUCUCGUGGGUUCACAGGCUGGAGUGCAGUGGAACGAUCUCGGCUCACCGCAACCUCCGCCUCCUGGGUUCAAGUGAUUCUCCUGCCUCAGCCUCCCAAGUAGCUGGGACCACAGGCGUGCACCACCAUGCCCGGCUAAUUUUUCUAUUUUUGGUAGAGACAGGGUUUUGCCAUGUUGGCCAGGCUGGUCACAAAUUCCUGGCUUCAGGUGAUCCACCCGCCUCGGGACUCAUGAGACGGCUUCCAGCACAGGCCCUGGCACUUAACUCUUAGCUGAAUUUGCAUUCUUUUAUUUUUAUUUUAUUUUAUUUUAUUGAGACAGAGUUUUUCUCUGUCACCCAGCCUGGAGUGCAGUGGCGCGAUCUCUACUCACUGCAACCUCCAUCUCCCAGGUUCAAGCGAUUCUCCUGCCUCGUCACUGUCUCCCUUAUCACAAGGAGGAAGAGGCCCUUUGAAGAUGUCCUUUCGCACGGGCUCCGAAAUAUCUGCUAAAUGUAGGUCAUUAUGACUGAAAAUGCAUUUUUCCCCUUGUCCUUGAAGCAGGCAGCUGCUCUGAUGGAGUGCAGUGGCAUGAUCUUGGCUCACUGAAACCUCCGCCUCCCAGGUUCCAGAGAUUCUCAUGCUUCGGCCUCCAGAGUAGCUGGGAUUACAGGUGCGUGCCACCAUGCCUGGCUAAUUUUUUUGUGUUUUUAGUAGAGACGGGGGACUAUGUUGCCCAAAGAAUUCUGUAACAGAUCUCACUGUCUGCACCAAAAUUAAAUUUAAAUGCAAUUAAAAGCAACUGAUUGAACGACCCAGCCAGGGAUCCGAGGAUUUAAACAUUCCUACAUCCGGACUCCUUGGUCAACCAAAGCAAGGCUCUCUGAGAAGCAUUUGAAAAAUCCCCCCGCCCCAUUGUUCCAACUGCUGGGACCUAUCCCUGCCACCUCCUCCAGCACAUACAAGCAAAUCCACACAAGGGCCGGCUGCCACCGGCAUGAUCUAAUGACGUAUUAACUGUGACUCUCUUCCCAUUCCCUUGGGGAAGUGACUCUCCUUGAAAGCAAAACUUGGCCAGUCUCAACCACAUAAAACCCGAUUGUGUAAAAGAAAACUCCAAAUGCUGCAGGAAGGACAGGCCCGGUGCCAGCCCUGCUGCCUGCCCCGUGAGGCUUUCAUUGCACUGCACGUGGGGCCUGGGGCUUUGACUGAAGCCCCAGGCAAGCUGACCCCU
rnacentral:lncRNA from 10 species